rnacentral:lncRNA from 11 species
CCUGAAUUCAAAUGUCGCUUGCUGUGCCAUCCUGGACAUGAAACUUCGCAGAUUAUCAAUGGAUCUGUCUCAGUCUGGCCGGCAUCAAUAAAGAGAGGUAAUGAUCUUUUGGCAGACAUGCACAUGCUGCUGUUACUGGGUGACAGCCAGAUGCCAACCCACCGCAUCAGGAA